UUUUUGCCUGAUGCAUGACUAGGGAAUGGCGUUUUACACCUUCUCAUGAGAGGUGGGUCUAAUUAGACAAAGCACUGUGGACUAGUCAAAAAACUCCCAACGGAGGUUGUAAACUCUUAUCUUCCUAUAUUGUGCCACUAACAGUUCAAUGAACCCAUGUUUGCCUGAUGCCCUCCUGAGAACGAGGGUGCGGCUGUUGGUUCUCUGCUUAUCUGCAGUACAAAAGCCAAGUCUCCUCCCAUCUACAAUCUGUUUCUGUUUGGCACCGUGUGUAUAUAAAUAAGGACGGUACUGUGGGUAAACGGCAGGUGCAGCACAAGCUUCUUUCAGAGACAGUUUGCAGCCCGGUUAGAACCAUGAGGUUUUUGAAACUCCUUAGCUUGGUCUUCAUCCUGAUUCUCUGCCUUGAGACCUUUACAACUGAAAGUGCAGGUCCAAAAAGUCGAAGAAUCUGUUGCUACAAAAUGAACCUCUCCAGGGUACAAAGAAGGAUUGCCAGACAUUCCAAGAAGCUUUUCUGUAGAUCUUGCAACAGAAACGAGAUGCCAAGGAAUAAAUAUCAUCCUGGACCAUUACCUCAAGUCUGAAGAAAAGAUGUAUAGACUUGGAUCUCCUUACAGAGUUUGGAAUCCACCCCUUCCCACCCUGCUUUUCACAGUUUUCCUCCAGACACAUCUAUUCAAUUGUUGAAUAUUCAUAAAUUGUACUGACAUUUGAGCUUUCUAAGAAGGUUCCAAACACCCCAUUGGUUGUUCACCAGCAUUCAUCUUCUGAAUAUAUCUGUUGUAUAUGUUGACACACAUCUAUCCCCAUGUGCAGUUCAGCUAAGUUCUGCACUGCACAACCUAGCCUUUCAGGAGAAAGCGGCAGAGGAAAGUCCUUCUUUAAAAGGAAUGAAUGUUGCAACAUGUUCCAGGGAUGUAUACUGAAGCAUUAGGAGGAGGAUACUCUUGAGUCGCAGACUCCUGCAGCCACACUCCAACAGAGGCAUAUAGUCUCCUGAAAACAAGAUUGACACUCUCAGCUGGAAUGUCUUAAGGUGAGAGUGCACAACUUUGAUGGGCUUGAGGUUCAAUUUUGACCUCUUCACCUGGGCUGGGACCCACAGUUAGCCGCUCCUUCUACAAAAUGUUGAGAAGAAAUGUUCCUCUCCCCUGCCCAACCAAACCAAAAGGCACUGGGAGUUCACUUCCAAUUUUUUACUCCCUCCCCUUCCUUUUGUUCAUGUUAUUGUGGGCUCGCUUUUGUUUUCUGAAUGGAAAAUAACAUUUUAAUAUCGGCAAGGCCUUCAAGAAAAGCAGCUGUUCCGGGAGCCUUUCAGGCAGGUGAUCUUCCUUGUUUGAAUACUUCUCCCCUUGGUAGCAGUGACAGAGGUGAGAAUCAGGGCCCCAGGACUGGCAAAAAGCAGACAGGGGCUAAAUAUAGAAAUUUAGAAUCUAGGCUAAGGGUUCCAGCCCUAGGCACAGCUAAUUAGCACUUCCUACUUGGAUAGUGAGUAAAUUGAGUUUUUCUUCACAGCCCAGUGUUUUCUCCUACCUUGGAUAUUACUCAGAGCAGACUAGCUGCUAUGGUCCACUUUCCACCUACACUCCAAACCCGUUAAAUUCCUCCUCAGACAGCUUGCAAACCCUUUGAGAAUUAUUAUUAUCAUUAUCAUUAUUUUUAUAUUUCUGUUCUACCACUCCUUGAAAGAGCUCAGGAAGUUAGAAUGAUAUAGAAGGAGAUUACCCCAUUUUUUUUUGGUUACCCACAACUUUCAGAGGUAAGUUAGAUAAACUAGUAACAUGAGUUUUCUGACAAAUAUGGUUUUGGAUCUGAACCCAGAGCUCCCUGCUUCUUCUCCAAUGCUCAUCAUGACACCACUUUGGUGUUCCUUUGGGCCUAUGUUGGACUUAUUUCCAAGUCAAUCUGUUUAGUGUCAAGGAAUGUGAGAUGGAAAUGUAUGGAGCUUAACAAUAAAUAGUGUUCAAGGGGCUUUGAAUUCCCUACC
ensembl:lncRNA